GAGUUUGAUCAUGGCUCAGGAUGAACGCUAGCGGCAGGCUUAACACAUGCAAGUCGGGGGGCAGCAUGGAGAGUAGCAAUACUCUCUGAUGGCGACCGGCGCAAGGGUGCGUAACGCGUGAGCAACUUGCCCUCAUCAGGGGAAUAAUCGCUGGAAACGGCGUCUAAUGCCCCAUGGUGAUGGAAUCAGGCAUCUGAUUUCAUCUAAAGAUCCGUCGGAUGAGGAUAGGCUCGCGUGACAUUAGCUAGACGGCGGGGUAACGGCCCACCGUGGCGUCGAUGUCUAGGGGUUCUGAGAGGAAGGUCCCCCACACUGGAACUGAGACACGGUCCAGACUCCUACGGGAGGCAGCAGUGAGGAAUAUUGGUCAAUGGCCGGAAGGCUGAACCAGCCAUGCCGCGUGAAGGUCAGUGCCCUAUGGGCGUUAAACUUCUUUUGUGCGGGAGCAAUAAGGGCCACGCGUGGCCUGACGAGAGUACCGUACGAAUAAGCAUCGGCUAACUCCGUGCCAGCAGCCGCGGUAAUACGGGGGAUGCAAGCGUUAUCCGGAUUUAUUGGGUUUAAAGGGUGCGUAGGCUGUGAGGUAAGUCAGCGGUGAAAUGCCCCCGCUCAACGGGGUGAAGUGCCAUUGAUACUGCCUUGCUGGAAUGCGGAUGCCGUGGGAGGAAUGUGUGGUGUAGCGGUGAAAUGCAUAGAUAUCACACAGAACACCGAUUGCGAAGGCAUCUCACGAAUCCGCGAUUGACGCUGAUGCACGAAAGCGUGGGUAUCAAACAGGAUUAGAUACCCUGGUAGUCCACGCUGUAAACGAUGAUGACUAACCGUCGGCGAUACACAGUCGGUGGCCAAGCGAAAGCGAUAAGUCAUCCACCUGGGGAGUACGGCCGCAAGGCUGAAACUCAAAGGAAUUGACGG
rnacentral:rRNA from 1 species